CUACGGGAGGCUGCAGUGGGGAAUAUUGCACAAUGGGCGCAAGCCUGAUGCAGCAACGCCGCGUGAGGGAUGAAGGCCUUCGGGUUGUAAACCUCUUUUAGCAGGGAAGAAGCGAAAGUGACGGUACCUGCAGAAAAAGCACCGGCUAACUACGUGCCAGCAGCCGGGGUAAUACGUAGGGUGCAAGCGUUGUCCGGAGUUAUUGGGCGUAAAGAGCUCGUAGGCGGUUUGUCACGUCUGCUGUGAAAAUCCAAGGCUCAACCUUGGACUUGCAGUGGGUACGGGCAGGCUAGAGUGCGGUAGGGGAGAUGGGAAUUCCUGGUGUAGCGGUGGAAUGCGCAGAUAUCAGGAGGAACACCAAUGGCGAAGGCACAUCUCUGGGCCGUAACUGACGCUGAGGAGCGAAAGCGUGGGGAGCGAACAGGAUUAGAUACCCCCGUAGUC
rnacentral:rRNA from 1 species